CCCCCUAAAAGUGUAGUAAAGAUAAAAAGAUUAACUAUUGUUGUGUGAUUAUUGAACAGUCGCGUGCUCCUUCACCACAUUAUUUAUUAACUGUUUUGUCGCACAAUAACACGUGCAACUUUUGUAUUAAUAUGGACAAUCAUAAGUAAACCCAUACAACAUAAAGUAAUUCCCCCUUAAAUAAAGUUCUGUGAAGUGAAAGUCCACGUUUUAAAGCGAGAGUUAAGAUAUUUUUUUUGCAUAUUUCGAGAGCAAAUUCUACUUAGAAACGCACUGCUACAGCUUUGAGGGCUAGUCUUCACUCCACGCCUUUUCACCCAAAAGUGAAUCACGCGAUUAUAAUCUAGAGUUUAAAGAGCCCUGCUCUGUUCAACUACUAAAUGUGCAGUUUACAUCUGAAAUAAGCGAUAAGAGCAACUAUUAACCCGCCAGGUAAGAGAACUCAUUUCACGCGCUGUGGUGAUGUGGGGUUAUUGUGGUUGACAGCUGAAGCCCUUUAGACAUACUUGCAGCUACAAGUUCGCAGACAGUUAUGUGUUGAAAGGGAAAUGAAUCAGCCCUUAAACGCUUUUAAAUGCGGACUCAUUCAGCAGGAAAGCACGGGGUUUAGACUGGCCUGCGAGUGCCGAUAGUUUUGAUUAAAAGGAAAGAUACAUGGUGAACGAACUAAAAGCUGUUUCAUUCUCGAUGAAUAUUUCCCCCUUGGUCCGGCUAUUCUGGCAAAGGAAGUAUAGAGAGCAGUGAUUCUCCUCAUGUGUUGGAAUACAGGCUGUGCUCUAGUGAUGGGCAGAUCGAUUCUUAAAGGCACAAUAUUUUGGGAAGGAGCCACUUUCUAUUCCAGCAUGAAAAUGCCCCUGUGCACAGAGAGGUCCAUGGUGUACUCAGUCUGGAGUAGAACCUUGACUAGUCCACACAAAGCCCAGAGCUGGACCUCACUGAACACCUUUGGGAUGAUUUGGAAUGCAGACUUCAAGCCAAGACACAUCAGCCAACAACAGUGCUUGUCUUUACUGUGUGUGAAUUGGAACAAAUCCCCGCUGCCAUAUUUCAACAUAAUGGCAAAGCCUUUAAAGAUAAGUGGAAGCUCUAGCAGCCACAGCCUCCACACUGCAUGCAUAAGCACCAUAGUGUUGUGGCACUGGAAAAGAUAUAUUUUGGAGAACCUGAAAGUCAGAAAAAGCCGUGUGGUGUUAGAGUUAUCACGUCAAAACUUAAACUAACAGCUCCUGCUCUACUAGUUUCCUGCUGAUCCAGUACGGCUGCCGCUAACACUGGACAGAUGUGUUUUCCUCCAUGACAGCUCAUGAC
ensembl:lncRNA